GCUGUUCAUGGGUAAUUAGAAUAGAAUUAACAAGAUUUUGAAAAGAGGAUAUAUAAAGUAACUUGAAAUGGGUUUUACAAAGCAUGUAUUUACAGACAGAGUGACUCCAAAUUAUCUGGGCUGAUUUUAGUCAUGCUUAAGGGUAAAUGAGGAAGAAUGGAUUGGGGUAUUUUACAUAUGAAAUUAAAAUGUCUUGUGAAAAUCCAGUAAGUCUUAGAGAUUGCAAGCACAAUUAAUAUGUCCUCAAGAUUGACUAACUCUACACACACUAACUGCAACAACUGGUUGUCUUUGGAUUAUACAGCAUGUCCCCAGGUCUUCAGGAGCAUCUCGGGGCAGAUGGUAUUAACCAUAUGCCCUGGAAUGCAUCUACUCAUGAGCCUCCGUCUGACCUCCUUGUCGAGCCUGGGACACAGCUGCCCUAGGAGGACACUGCUCCCCUGAGCUGCCUGCCCUCAGCCUUGUGCUCUGUCACCUGUCACUGAACCACAUGUCACCUGAAUCAACAAGCCAGUGACUGGACCUCACAGAGUUGCUCAGGAAGACAGCCUUUGGUUUUAAACAUCUCUUCUUCAGGGUUCAAAACUAAGCUGCUGGGACAUGUAAGCAUUGGUGGGGGAUGGAGCUGGUGUUGGUUAUUCAGAGGCCUUGCUGUUUUUCUCCAUUGCCAUUGUGUUUGCACUUUCAGUGAUUCCUGCACUCCAAGUUUCUCCUUCUGCUCUAGCACAUAAUCCUCUUCAUAGCCAACUUCCCACGGACAUCAAGUCAUGCAUAUAGCUCCUUGGAAAGCAGUCUCACUUACCUGUGACCCAGAUGUCAACACAACCAACACAGUUCAACCAAGACCAGCGUUUUGUCACGUGUUUCAUUAGAUACCAUCUCUUCAGGAUAGAUAUUGGUCUUUCCAUAGAAUUAGGUACAGAAAUACAUAAAAUAUAUAUUUUAUAUAUAUGUGUGUUUUAAAUUUCUAUGGUCAAAUGUGUUGCAUUAAACAUGCAUUAAGCCAGUUGAAGCAUUACAUUAAACACAGUUCAAUACUUCUUUUUUUAUUGCAGAUCCCUUAAUGUAAUAAUGUGCAUCACUAGGGAUUACAAAUGGCUUUGUAAAACCCAUUUCAAGUUACUUUAUAUAUCCUUGUGAUACUUCCGCACUUACUGGAACAAGAAUCCUUUUACCUUGGAGGAGUUUGUGGAACUACUACCGCUAUAAACCUGCUUGUGAAGCUUCCUUAUCUAGGGAUUGAAAUUGGAGAGGAUCUCAGUAAUGAGCUCUAGCUGGGAACAAGUAUGUUUUAGUGUCUUGUGCCAAUCAGUUGGUUUCUGAAGUUGAAAGAAAAAUUAGCAGGAGGGGGAGGUGUCUUUUAUUUGGAGCUCAACACAAUUUCAGGGAGUGCUUACCCAGUAGGUUCUAAGUCAUUAGUAAAGAAACCUAUUUGUACUUCUUAAGGAUGUAUUUAUUUGGGGAUCUUUCACCAAACAGCCAAGAGAGCUUUGUUGUUCUUUCAAAGGAAUGAUGAGAUGCACUGUUUCAUUCCGGGGUUCACUGCUCCUUUACAGGCACUGUAGAUGUGAGAGCCAUUAACCUGUGUUUAUGGAGGCCUUGAAGGGACACAAGGCCUGUGCUCUUCCUGCAGAAGCAAAGCUUUAGAUUUCAAUGUUAUAAUUAUAGUGUAAAUAGAAGCAUAAUUCAAGAAUCACUACUUGUCCUUUCUCAUCGGUCAACGUUCUUCAGGUGUGCCACCAGGAUAAUUCCCAAAGUGCCAAGUCCUUCCCCUCAAGUCUCUCCCGGACAACUGCAAGGAUCUUGAGAAGUACGGUAAUACUCGGUUGUGAGCAGGAUUUCAUCUCCAGGAAAACAUGGAGACGGUGGCUGGAGUAUCAGUUGCACACAGUUUAAACAUUCCCUCUAGUCUUAAUUAGCCACAUUUGCUUUCCUCUUGGCUUCAGGCUGAGUCAGACCAGCCAUGACUGAAGCCUGGCAUAACCACGUGACGUGUGACUACAUCUCAGACUGUGAUAAACGAUCAUGUCUCUUGACCCACAAGAGUUUGUAACAUUUUUUUAGUGUAUGCUGAGUCAUUACUAUUGCAUCAGACCAAAGUAAGUGAAUGUCUACUGCCAUUUUUAUAAUGAGAGGGAAGGGAGGGAGGGAGGGAGGAAAAACAGAAGGAAGGGAGGAAGGAAGGAGAGAAAAGAAAGAAUCAUCUGCUUCAUGUAAACUUUCUGAUCCUCCCAGGCAGGACUGGUGGAUGUGUGCUUUCAUAAUGCAGUACAGAGACCUCUGGGUGUUUGCCAUAUUGAAUCAGUCACUAUAGUAAGCUGGUAAAAGCAUGCCUGGGAUAAAAUCAUGAUACAAUCCUAAUCAAUUAGCUGUGUGAAUAUGGCAAACAGUUUGAACUCUGUAGGUCCUUUUGCUGAGACUUACUUCGUACAAGCCUGGCCCUAACUCUGCACAUAUUAAUUUAUUGAGUCCUUUCAACAAUUUUAUAGACAGAUUUUCAUUAAGGGCAAUUUACAUCCAAGGUCAAGUAAGUUACCUAAGGUUAGUAUGUGCUUUUGCUUUUGAGGCUAGGAUAAAAUAAUCCACACAAAGCCAUUACACAGUGCUGGGUCCCUAGUAAACACACCAAAUUUUAAUUUUCAUUUGUUAUUUUUAGGGUAAAGUUUAUGUGCCAGGCAUUAUUCCAAAUGCUUUAUGCAUACUAAUUCAUUCAAUGCUAUGAAAUAGGAAGUUUUCAUGCCCAUUUAAUAGAUGAGGAAAAUGAGGCAUAGAGAGACUAAGAGAUGCACCCAAUGUAACAUGAUGAGUGGUGGAGCCUGGAUUUGAAUCCAGUCUUGCUCAGAGUCCACACUCUUAUUCUUUAUACCAAACCAUCACUAUUAUUGUUGUUUAUUUAAGUGUCUAUUGGCACUCAUAUGCUUAUGAGUUUUUCAAGGACAGAGACUAUUUCAAAUAUCACUGAUGUUUCCUGCAAAUUGUCACUCCCUCCUUAUCAGCACUACAACCACUGCUCAGAACUUGGAGGUUCUGGGUGAGUUUGUUGUUCAGUCAAUGUACUCGCUAGCAGGUUACACAUAAUUUGAAGAAUAAUAUUGAAGUGGGGAUAGUAAAUGGCUGCCCUUGAAAUGGGAAAGCAAGUCAGGGAAAUAUUGCUAAGCUCAAUUUAAGUGAAAUGGAAACAAUUCUAAUUCUAGUUCAAAGAUGUCCUGUGGGCAGGGUAUCCUGAUCAAGAAGGUCACCUUCUCCUGCUAAAUCUGGGAUAGAAUGUUUUCCUCUGUAAUGAGUAGAGGCCACUGAAUAGCUUGGCUCCUGUAUUACUUGACCUGUUUGUGUAUAUCAACAAACACUCACUCAGCUCUUAACUGUUAGCUGGAUACUAUGCUGAGCCCUUUCAAAGUGUUGCCCAGUUUAAUCCUCCUGACAACCAUCAGAAGGAGAUUCUAACAAUAUUCCCAUUUUUACAUACAGGCAGACUGAGUCUUGGGACCAGUAGGCUCAUGAUCACACACUAGUUAGGAUUUGAAUCCACAUCUUCAGAGCUAGAGCUCAUCUCAGGCGAUAUGCCCCUUUCAUGCUCAUCCUCCCAAGCAUGGGUGAUGUAGGGGUCUGAUUUGGGAUAGCUGUGAUGGACCCUGAGGCUCUUGCUCACCCUUCUCUUCUUGGUAUUUCUUAUCAGUUGUAAACAUCCAGGCCUGUGGUCCUAAAAGCUCAGCCAAGAAAAGGAACUUAGGGUGGAGAGACGGCUCUAAUGGCAACGUGUUAUUUCUUCCUUGAAACUGUUCCUAACUACCACAUCUGUUGAAUACACACAAAACCUCUUUAGUGUAAGUACUGACAUCGACUGAGAAAGUUGGGUGCUUAAUCUUUGUUUUCAGUACCCAACUCCACUGUGCGUGACUUUAUUCUAAAACUCUGCAUAGUAUAGUCUUUCUUGUUUUCUCCUUAGCUUUUAAUGCUGAAAUAUUUACCACUGUGUUGAGGCACUGGUGCAGACUAUGCCAUAAAAAUUGUCUUUGCUGUCAAUGGCAGACAAAUACUACUGCUUUUUUAUUGGAAAGGGAGGGAAAUUGGCAUCAGCCUGGAAGUCACUACAUGUUCCGUGACAACAACUUAACUUCCCCUCUGGUUGGCUGCUCCACAAAUUCGCAAACUCCAUGAAACAGCAUCAGAGACAAUAAAAGAGAAAAAUAAAAAGAAAGCAAAGAACAAUAAAAAGGCAUUCAGAUUUUCAUAAAUUGCAAAAAUACUUUUUUUAAAAAGCAAUUUCAUGUCUUCUCCAGGUAGAUGCAUAAACUCUUAUGAACAAGUUCAAAGCCUCAUUCAUGUUCAUGAAAAUUCCUUAACAAUUUUUAAAAUAAAGGAGUUGGAUAGGAGGAAAGGGGGAGAAAGUAAGCAUUUGGGCCAUGUGAGUUUGGAAAUCAGAGAAAGGAAAUUCUUAGGCUUUCCCUUGUUGAAGUGUCAUGAGUCUUGAAGCUCCCAACGUUAGUGGAGUCUCCUUGUCACAGAGCUCAUUAGUAUUCAUCAUUAAUUCAUAUUUUCAAAGCAACAAAGGAGAAAACAGCAGUAGAAAGAAUAAGGAAAUGUCAAAUCCUGGGAGUAACAUUUCAGCACAGUGUUGCGACUAAGGUUAGCGGAGGUUGGGCUGUUUUAAAAGCCGAUCCAAACACAGAGCAGAGCAGAAAGCACACUUUUUUCCACAGAAUGCCAAAUUCACCAUGUUAUUCCUAGCCUAUCUCUUCUUAUCUGGAAAGUUCCUUUCACUCCACUCCACCAACCCAACCUCUCAGUCCCCUUUGAGAAGCCUCCUUUUAUAAAAAUAAAGUACAAAUUUUGUGCCACAUGCUGUGUCUAGAAAUUGCUGAGGAUUAUUUCAUUUUGUUUCACAAUAACCUAUGAUGUAAUGCCCACAUUAUCUCCAAGUUUAUAGACAAGGUAACUGAGAACAGAGAGUGUUAGUGACUUGCGCAGGAUCACCUGGCUGGUCAGUUCUGUGGGAUACAAACCCAGAGCCUGUGCUUUAAUGGGGGCCACACACCACAAGCAAGACAUUGCUUCCAUGACAUUAACUGGGCGUCUGCCUCUUGAGGCUCCCUCACACCAUGACUCUUCGCUGGCCAGACAGGACGCGGUUUGGAUUUCUGGCAAUCCAAUUAUAGAUUGAUAAAAGAUCAUACAUUUAGGCAUCAGGUUUCAUCAAACCUCCUGUCCUCACUGUGGGGUAGAAAAAUAAAUAAGCCCAGUGAGGGUUUUUCCCUACAAAAAUCAUAAUUCUGUGCUUUCCCUUGAUGAAUCGCUAUAUGUAGCCUCAUGUGUAGGAAGCUGUGUUUUCAGCUGCCUUUUUAUAAUAAAUAUGUAUUAAUAGGAUACAUAUGUUCUCUAUGUUUCAGCUACUCUAAGCCCUUCCCCUUUUGUUCACCUUUCCCAUUUUCUUAUUCUUCAUGUAGCAAGUCCCUCAGCAAACCUUGGCUGGGUGCCUAGGCCAUGUGAAGCUCCAGGCUAAGAACUGGGAGUAUAAGGAUGAACAGAGUAACGUCCCUGUAAAGUCCCUGAAUGCCAUGGGAGUUCCCAGAUGUGGAGGUUAAAAAUUAUGAUGGAAAAUUAUAGCUAACAUUUAUUGACACUAUUUGCCAUUCUAAGCAUAUUACAUAUCAUUAUCUCUUAAUAUUCAGUUAGCUGCUAUCAUGCCCAUUUUACAGAUGGGAAAGUCAAGGCACAGAAAGGUUAAAUGAUUGCCUACAAACCCACAGCUAUCAAGGGGACAGCUAGGCUUGCAAACUCAGGAGCAUUGUUCUUGGGCCUGGACUCAGACCCUCUCUGCUUCACAACUCAAUUAUACAGUUAUGCAUAAGGAAGAGAACAAUGGACUCAGCUUUCAUGGUUUAGGCACAGACUGGGCUGAUAUUCAAACUUGAGGGCUAAGUAGAAGUUAACCAAGCAGAGAAAAUAGCAUAUGCCAGGCAGAGAAAACAGUCCAUGCAAGGGCACUGGGUCUGAGAAAACAAUACAGGCAAAUAAUUUACAGAGGUUGAGUAAUAGGAGGGUGUGGAGGGACAAGACUGCAAGAGAUAAAGACUGAUAAAGUAUAUUGUCUUUUUGCAGAAAAGUGCCUGGGCUAACUAUUUUUCAGAGAACAGCCAAAGGAAAAAUAAACCUGCUUAAUUGAAGGAGCUGAUCAGUUAGGAUGUGGCUAAUUGAGGCCACAUUAGACAAAGUGCUUAAAAGUUCAAAAAAAAUUUUUUUUGCAUCUGAAACUGGUGAAAUUGCUACAGGUGAAACUGAAAUUUCCUUAUGGCUGUUGUAUAUCCAGGGUACUACUAUAAACGGGCAUAGGGAUGGCCUCUGCACAGAUGGUUGUUCACACAAGGAGCCGGGUCUGCAUAAUUGUAUCACUAAUCAGCAGUAAGGCAAUUAGUUGUGAGGAUUCCAACAUUGAUCAAAUAAACACACAAAAGUAAAUAUACAACUCUGGCAAGUGUAGAGAAGAAGAGGGACAUGGUGCUACAAUCCAUAAUAAGAUUGGAGGUACGUGGGAUGAUCAGAGAAGACUUCCAUGAGGAAUGAACGAUUGAAGGGAAUUCCAGAGAUAUUUUUUUGCCCUACAGUGGUUUGCCCAGUGCUUUUCAGAAAGAUGUCAAGGAUGGAAUCCUUCCAGCUGGAAUGCGUUUGUACCUCUGCACUGAAACAACUUCUGAGGACUCUUAGAAAGCUACUUUUAAUGUCUUCUGUUUCCUACUGCAAGGAAUGACCUCCUGGCUCCUGCUUAUUUCAGGGAUUAAUGUGUUUGGAUAAUUGUCUCAAGUGUGAGUGCACCACUGGAGACCAGGUGUAGCAUCUUGGCACUUGGCAGAGGUCUAGUUUGUUUAUUUGUUAUUUAUUCACUUCGCAUUAAUUCAACAAAUAAUCACUGAAUAUCUGUUACCAUCAGAGAAUGGCUGCAAUGCUCUAUCUGCAAGCAGAUGAUGGAGGCUGGAGACCAUAAUAGAUCAAGACCAGGAAAGUGCAAAAAGUGAGGGAACAUUGGUGUUGAGUGUGAGCAGUUAUGUCCACCACAAAAAACAGAGGCACCAGGUAACAAGUAGGAAUGGAGGACCCAAAACACCAGAGACUGGGGCAUGAGAGGCUGAUAAUCUAACCAGACAGACAGGUAAGAAGAUGAACAUAAAUGCUCAGCAGACAUCCCAGAUCAAAGAAGAGGGUGGUCACACAUGAGGAAUACAGAUUUAGGGUAUUAGUGAUAGGGCAAGCCCUGAAAAUGACGACAAAGAACUGCCUUGGUCCAUUUUGAAUGGGUCUCCUAUGAAGGUAGAAGACACACGCAUGAUGAUUCUGUUACCUGCUGCUGGAGUGUCCGAGAGGUGCCAUGGACAGAGCCAGACACCUUCGGUUUGAGUCCCACGUGGAAGCUAAGUGACUUCAGGGGUUCCUUAAGUGAAAAAAAUUCGCUUACACUUGUUUAAAUGAAUAAAAAGACAACCUACACAAGGUGAAGAAAAAAGAAAAUAAAAAAGGAAUGCCUUGGUCUGUAUGAGUAGAAAAUCCAGUACAAAUGACUUCAGGCACAACCUGAUCCAGAGAUUCAGAUGACGUUAUCAGGAGUCUCCCCGCCUCUCAGUGUCCACCUCUGCGUUGGCUCCAUUCUUCAGGCAAGUCUUUUCAUGUGGUAGUCCUCAGGCCUGCAUUUGCCUCCCUUAACAAUUCUAGUGCAACCAGCACUUCUCACUGGCCUGCCUAGAGACAUGUGCCUAUCCUGUAUCCACCAUUAUGAACAAGGUACAGAGCACAGUGACUGGCCAGCCUUGGGUCAUAUGUGCAUCCUGAAUCCAGGAAGAUGGGGUCAAUAUAUCUAAUCUAUAUGGACAGACAGAGGAGAUUGUUGACUUCCAAAAGAAAGCAAACAAACAAUUAACAACAAAAAAGUUAAAAACAGGACAGUUAAAAAAGGGGAAUUGAUUCUAGUCAAGAAUGAACAACAGGUGUUCUCCACAAAGGGAGACAAGAUGGAUGUAGGGAAAGUAACCAAGUCCAUUUUCUCCUUUCUUGUCUCACAUUAGCAUUCAUUAAAUAAAAGCAGGAAGUCAAAACAGUGAAACAAACACCAACUAAGAAUAAAAUCAAAGAAAGGGGCCUUCCCUAAUCAUGAAAAUUUUGGCUUGAUAGUGUUUUCAAGAAGCUUGUUUUUUUUCUUUUAAGAACCUACAGUAACUCAGCUUGGCUAAUAAAGUGUUUGCCUAGUACAUUAUGGAAGUCUUUUGGGAGACUAUUGAAUCAAUUAGAAUGAUUUGUAAUUAGCACACCAACCUAAUGACAGGGUGUCUCUAAAUUGCUUGAAAAUAGUUUGUUUUCUUAAGGAACUUGUAUGCCCCUCUUAUGAACAUAUUUAUAAAAGUAAUAUGUUUACUGCCUUUUAGAACUUUUCACGAAUUUUGAAUCUUGAAAGUUUUCAAGAAUCUUGAGAAAAUUUUUCUCAGAUUUUAUCUUAAAUAUCACAAAUACUGAAUUAUAUGGAUUUGAAUAAUUGGAAAGUUAUAUGAAUUGGAAAGAUUGCCCCCUGUAGAAAAUUAUUCACAAAAGCCUAUGGGACAGAUUAUCACAGACAGGCGAGUUUGAAAAUUCUUAUUGAUAUUAAGAAAUCAUGUCAGAACUUGAAACAAUUCAAACAGAAACAGAAGCUAGAAAUGAUAAAACUGUUAUUGUAAGGUGUCAUUGCCUAUAGUACUAAUAUUCACAGGUACAGAAUUGUGUUAAAAAAAUGCCUUAAUUUUUUUUUUUCUAAAGCUUGGGAAUUAGCUGACCUGUUUUAAAAGUUCCUGAGACUUCAAUGGGUGGGAUGUCCAUUCAUAUGGCACAGCUUUAGGUUUUCAGGUUUCUGGAGCCCAAUUUGAGAGUUGUGCCAACCCAGAGACCUGUGGCAUUCUGGCCAACAACAUUGGUUCUGAAGUCAGGCAAAACCUGGACUCAUAUCCUAGCUCCUUCCUUACUGUAGCUAUAGAAUCUUGGGCUAGUUACUUAUUCUUUCUCAGCUUCUACCUUGUCAGAAAAAUGGAGACUAUGAUAAUAAUCCAUUUGGUGAAGUUAAAUAAAAUGCAUAUAGCUUGUACAUAGUAAGCCCACAAUGAUUGCAGAGAGACUCCUGGGGUAAUAGCAGUUUGAUCCUGGGGAAAUAAGCCAUUUUUAUCUUAUUUUAGUGAAUAAUCAUAAAAAUAUAACUGUGCGAAUAAGUGUUUUUAAUCUGGAAGGUACAGUCUCUGCAACAGGCUAGAGCAAAGGUUGAAUAGUGUGGAAUGUUCAAUAGUUAAAGUGUUUCACUCUAAUCAUGUUUCCUGCACCUCAUGAGACUCAGCCAGUGUCAUUUAUGCAUUCAUUUAUCCUGUGCAUAUUGAUACCUCCAGACAUUAGUUGGGCUUCUACUGUGUGUUGGGCAUUGGGUUUAGCAUUGGGAUACAGUGGAGAUCAAAACCAAUGGAGCAGCUGUAAACUUUCAGCAACUUAACAACGUUGGUUAAUUUUAACUUGUCAUCACUUCUUUAGAGCAAUAAAACCUGUGCUAUUUUGUCAUACCCAUCCAGCCAAGAACAAUAGAGAAUAAAACAGCUUCCCACCUCAUGACUGUUGUUCAAAGAGCUAAUAUAUGCGAUGUGCUUAACACAGGGCUUUGUUCAUAAUACAAGAAAUAGCUCAAUACAAAUAAUGUUUUUUAAGUACUACUACAAUGAUCAUUUUGUGAUUUUUUAUAUUGUUUUAAGCACUGUAAUGUUGUUGGAACCAUUAUUCAGAGGUGGGUUCAGAUCUGAGUCUGCCUUAUAACAGUUAAUGAUCUUGGGCAAAUCACAGCUGACCCUUGAACAACAUGGGUUUGAACUGGAAUCUGCUUACAUGAGAAUUUUUAUCAAUAAUUUUUUUCAACAUGUACACUCUCUCUCAGUUUCAGCUCCCUCAUCCGCAAAAUGGGUAAUUUCCAGUGCCAUUUCAUAGGGUAAGUGACAUAUUGACUAUAAAGUGACUGGUAUAGUACCUGGAACAUAGUACAUGCCCACUAGUUACCAUAAUCAUCAGAAUAACUAAAAUUUGUGUUGCCAUAUUAAGUUGACAUAAUACUUUUACUUAGACAUUCUCAUUUAAUGCUCAAAAUACACUGUGAGAGAGGGUCAUUAACACUAUUGUUAUCAUUAUUAUCAUGAGACAUAUUUAUAAAAUGAGGAGGGGCUCAGUAAGUUGCCCAACACCACAGGGCACAUAAGUGGCAAAGUCAGUCCUUUGUCCUAAAAAGCAUCACUGGAUUUACAAGUGAUUUUCAGAGUGAUUCUUUAGACUGGGGUGCACACCUCUUCUUAGUUAUACUAGGGACUCAUCAGUGACCAGCAUAGGGGUGAGUUGGCCCUUCUAGAUGGACAUUUUGUUGGGGAGAUAACUUAAAGGAUUGGGAGCUAUGCAAAUGAAGAGCCCAUGCCCCCCUCCAUGGGCAAAGCCUGUGCUCAGCCAGCCAUCUGCUGCCCUGAGGAAAAACUCCAUCCCUUUGCUUGCACCUUGAUUACAACAAAGAAGUAUCAAAGAGAUACACUCAAAGAUUCUUCAGUCUUGCUUCCAGCAUCGUUUAAGGCUCAGCCAUACCAACAUAUUUCUUUAACUGUUGAAAAGAUGCUGUUUUUGGAAAAGAUUCCCUGAAACGGCUGGUGAGGCUAUCACCUUCCCCCACUCCCACUCCCAUCCCUCUAGCCAGACUUCUGAGGUAUGGGAGUCCGGCAUGAGAAGAUCGUCUGAUGGUCAAAAACAGCUGGGAAUCUGGAUUUUUAUGUGGAAUAUCCCCGUUUUAAAAAUAUAGGCACAAUUUAAAAGAAAAUGAAGCAUGACUAUUGACUGGAUGAGGUUUGGGAAUCUGGAUUUUUAUGUGGAAUAUCCCCGUUUUAAAAAUAUAGGCACAAUUUAAAAGAAAAUGAAACAUGACUAUUGACUGGAUGAGGUUUGGGGUUAUUUGCCUCCUCAGCUGGAACCUGGAUCCUCGUGCAUUUCCAGGUUAGGGACGGUUCCCUGAGCAAGUGGCUUUUAGAAUGAGUAGGCAUUGUUAGGAGAAGACACCAGCGAGCAGCUUUCUAGAGUCUAGACUUCAGGUGUAUACCAGUGAAUUUCCCAAGGGCUGGGAAAGGGAGGAGCAGUGGUUCUGGUGCAGCAGGCAGGGGCUCGAUCACACUGGCUUUAUGGGCCCUGGGAAGAGCAAUGGCGAUGGUGUGUGGUUGAUCCAGUGGGCAUAUUAAAACAUGGCGCAGUGAUGGGAAUUGACUGGAAAGGGCAAGAAGGUUGCUGGGCAACCUGGUAAUAAGCCGUUGCAGCCAUUCAAACAUCCACUUUUAUCGUCAUCCCCAUAGUGUCAACACUAUACCAAGACAAGUUACUUUUCUCCUGCAUUUGACUAGAUUAAAGAUGAUUGCCUUUCCACAUCACUCUCCCUAAGGACAUAAAGGAAGAUUUUUGGCUGCUUUCACAGCCUCUGACAUCUCUCACCUACUCUGGUUUCCUUUUGGUUCUAAUUUACUUUUCUCUUUAAUUCUUUCCCCUUUCUAUUUUCUUUUUACACCUAAAUACCCAAUUUUCAACUGUCAUUGAAUAAGAAUUAGGAACAUGUUACAUUAAAAAAUAGCUUAUCUGUAAAUCAAACCUUCUGGCAAACAUUAGGGUUUAGGUACCUAGUGUCAUUUUCUUUUAUAUCUACCUAAGGAAACAUUUUUUCCCCCUCCUUAUGCUGACAUAUUUUUUGAGAAAUGCAGCCCUCAGGUUAUUGUUCUGCACUCUUUGAAGUCACUGUGAAUUGAAUAAAUUUGAUGUUUGAUGGCAAGCUGCCAUGAGAAUUUAAACAACUCGUGAGAGAGGAUAUUAUUAUUAUUUUUCCUGUCAUUUUAAAUUCUCCAAGGCCAUCCCACGGAAUGGUGGGGAUAAGUGCUGGUCAGCGGCAACUGUCCGUCACUGUGGACUCUCACAACCCCAAAUCCCAAUGUAAAAUUCCUGGGGCCCAAGACCAUCCUCCUCGCCUAAGACUUGGAACUUCAAGGCCAUCAUCUUGACUUGAUGACAUUGAUAGUGAGAGGAUUGGGACAAAUUAAGAAGAGUGUUAAGGAAACUGUCUUUACCUGAUUUCAGCAAAGCAAUGCUUGCGUGAUAACACAAAAUGUGCCAUCCUUAGGAGGUUUAUUCAAAGGGCAUUUGAUUCUUGGUUGCUCUUGUGAAGUUAUUUUUUUCCUUUUUUCUUUUUUAAAUGCACUCAAUUUUCUACCUACCCCCCUCCCUUCUUUGCCUUUACUUCCUACUUUGGAAAAUGAAAUAGAAAUCUAACCUUAAACAAGGCUAAGUGCCCAGACUUCUGUGUCCUUGGUACAUGGUGGAGGAAUCUGGGUUUGGGUCAGUCACUCCAUGUGGUGCUAGGUGAUGCCUAUGUGUGUGGGGCAUGGUGUGCUUUUCUGGUGAAUCAGGGCUUGCAUCUGGUCCCUUUGCCAUGUGCUGACUUCUGCGGUGUCUUUGAGAUGGCAAAUGAAUCAUUUCUUUCAGAUCAGAUAAAAAAUGGGCCGUGCUCUUUGGAAGCAGAAGUCUUCCAGAUAAUUCUACGUUUGCACUAUAAACUAUACCAGUCAAUUGCACAUUCAAGUUUAGAUUUGGACCAGAUUUAUGCCCCUGAGAAAAUCCUAUUUUUGCAUGAUUUAGACAAAAAAUGUGUCUGAACAGCAUUACCCAGCCUAAUUUAUAUGAAACUGGGAUUCUGCCACCUGGGGUUUCGGGUCUGCUCUGUGAGACAUGUCUGGUAUGUGACUAAAAGACCAAGCAAGGAGGAGGCGGCAGUGGAGGGGGACCAGAGCCCACUUGAAAGGGAGACGGCCAUCCCCGCCAACGGAAUGGGGCGUGCACAACCAGCUGGGGAGUGAGGCCUCUCCAUUGUGCUUUUAUUAUUGGCUCUUGUGUACAACCAGAAAGGCGCCCCCCUCCCCGAGGCAUGCUUGGUUGCUACGAUCUGUUUCUGGGGGCUUGUGUGCAUCCCAAAUGGCAUCUCCCUGCUCCCAGACAGGCUUGGGUUGCUCAAUCACCAAAGCCUCCAGCGUUCUGAUCCAUGUCCUUCUGAGCCCCACCUGCAUCCAGGAGUGUGUGAGAAGAAGGACAAGACCAAGGCGCCAUCCCUGUCACCAAACUUGAGGAAUCUUUCUAGGGUGAUUCAUUCUCACUAGAUGGAUACUGUUCAUUCCUUAUCUAAGUCAGAGAUGUCCUUGCUGUUUUGGUUUUGUCUUGUUUUUAACUGUCAAAGUCCUCUUUUAAGGCUCCAGGGGGUCUUUGAUUGUUGUUCUCAGAGACCAGGGUUAUGAAUCUCUUUAUGGCAUGGAAGCUAACCCUGUACGAUCUGCACAUUUCACAGCUGUUGGGGCCCCUAGAGCUUUGAGAAGUACCUUUUGAGCAUUUUCUUAAUGCCAGACACUGUUCUGGGGAUACACUACUGGGGAUGGGGUGAAGAGAUUAACAAGACAGAUGUGAUCCUUAACUCUAAAGGUGCUCACAGUCUAGUGGAAAAAGGAACCACCCUGAAUGCAAUAAUCACAAAAUAAAUAUGUAACUUAAGUGAAAAGAACAGUUUAUAAUGAUGGUCUGAUUUAGUAGGCAGCUGUGGUGGUUUCAUACGGACGGCCUGACUGACCUACAACUGAGGGAUGAACAGUAGCCUGAAAUGCCACUCGCAGAAGGAACCAGGCAUGUCCUCUGGCUCAGGGUCCCCUGUGAUGAGAUAGGGUCAACCCCUUGCUCAAGGACACUCAGCACAACUGGAGCAAGGUCACAGCCAGACCCUCGGUGCACUUAAGGAAAUGCUUAAACACAAUGGCUUUGUAGUCAAAAGGGGCCGAGCCUGACACCCAGAUCUUCUGCUCACUAGCUCAUCAUUAAUCUUGCUGGGUCUUCACUUCCACAUCUGUGGACCAAGGGUUAUAAUAGCUGCAUCCAUAAAGGGAUAUUUUGAGACAUAAUUAGGGAAAGUAUGUAAUGUGUUUGAGCACAAUAAAUGUUAGAUAUUACUGUUAUUUAUUCUUAUUUGGUCUUUCAAAGCAACUCUACAGGGUCGAAUGAUAAAGAAGUACUCCUCAGACCCACCCACAAACAUUUUAUAUUAAACAGAGAGCCACAGAAGUUGCCCAAUCAUGCAUGCAUAAAUUUGUUCAAAAUAUUUAUUUGUUGGGUUCUUUCUAUGGUGAAGAUGAUAGGAAAGACUCAAAGGACUGCGAAAUAGUGUCCUUUCACUUAAGGUCGGAUGAUGGGGUGGGGCACCGGGUUUGAGAGACCCAGAGGGUUGGAGGCACACUGAGACGCUCCCUUGACAACCCCUUCAUUUCCCAGGUGGAGAAACGGAGGUCUGGAUCAGGGGGUGGUGGCUGAUAUCAGUACUCCAGUUCUCUGCCAUUUUCCCUCCGAUUACCAGCUGGACUCCCUCUGGACUGAGAAUCUGCUACAUGUCAGUCUCCACUGAACCACUCUAGCAAAACAGCCAUAAGAUACUGGCAGAGAUUUGGAAAAAGUUCCCCACCCCGUUACUUGGCCCAAGGAUCUGGGCCACAUCUGAAGAGGAACAGAGGAAGCUGAAAAUGUUGUCAGUUCAUAUAAGACAGCAACCGCAGGGGAUGGAGGUUUUCCUUUGCCAACAUUUCUAAGUGCCUCACAGCUUCCUCCUGAUUCUGUGUCCUGGUUUCAAGCCUCUCCAGAAUGUGUAGGUUUGGUGUCUGAGCUUGACUAUCACAAGUGGUACUUCCAUUAUGUAAUUCUAAUGCAAGUCUUAAUGUAUUCAAGAGGGCAUGGUGCAAAGACAGGGCUGCUUUUGGUAAAUCCAGUGAGACCCACUCCUUCAGAUAACCAUUUAGAGAUGCCAACCCCGGUUCUCCACAGCCAGGCUGGAGAGGUUGAGAGGUGCUUUUCCUUGGACUAUGGUUGGUAAAUUCCUAACAGCAUAGUAAACAUUUUAUUCCUAAUAUUUUUACAAGUGGAUUUUCAGGGGCUUAUCUGAGGGGUGCCGUCCUGGACCAAGACAGUGGAGGUACCAGGUCAGCCCACAAGGGGACAGGGGCCCAGCCUGAUGUUCUUCUGAAGUAGCCAUGCGGGGAGCCUUCCGGCUUCUACCGCUGGGACAGUGUUCAGGGAUCCUGUUCAAAUCACCGAGAGCUGACUUGUGAGCCUCUGAUGCCCGCUUCUGCUCCUACGGCUGUUUAUCGGCAAUUACCCGGAAAGUCCUUCCUGUAAUUAACCCCAGCUUCACGGACACUGCUAUUUGCACAUCAUGUCCCUUCUGAACACCGCCUCUUUGCCAUUAUUCCCUGGAAAGAUGAGUCACUGAAGGAGAUGGCUUAUCUCAACUCAAUUUUUAACUAGCUUUUGUCUCCCAGAGAUAUUUGUCAAUGACACAACAUUUCAAACCAGGCACUCCCUACCACCCCCUCCCCCACUUUCUUCAACUUCUUCUUUUUUUAUUUUAAUAACAUUUUCUCCCUUUCUGCUUUUAUAUUUCUUCCUCUCCCUCCCUUAGCCUUUCAUGCAUUCAGGAUGUAGGAGAGCCAGCAUCAAAGCCCAGAGCACUGCCGAAUCCUCCUCCCUACGGUAAGCGUGCCCUUUCCCUGUCUGAUCAUUGACUCAUAACCACAGAGUGUCCCAGGCACAGGACGGGGGGGACGGAGGGCUGAAUAAGCAGGGACCACGGUCUGCAGCCUCAGAGGAGACAAAAGUGGAGGAUUUGUUCAACAUGGUUCUUUCGCCCCUUGGGGGAUAAUUGUUUAGGACAAUCUGCGCUGACCCAGUCCAAGGAGAAGAGGGGGUGGAGAAGCCAGCACCCCCACCCCCACCUCAUCAACUGGCAACUCCAACCGAGUGAAACUCCGCUGGUCGGGCUCCAAAUCCCAAGGCCAGCCCAAACCUAAACCCACUCCCUGGGCAUCUCCGAGACUUUUGAUUGCCUUAUUUAAUUUUAAUUUGAUUGCACUUACAUGUAUUGAUUGCCUACUAUGUGCUGACUAUGAGUUGACAGGUGACAGCCACAGGCUUAAACCCUGUGGAAGUUAAUAUGUCCCUGCCCUUCAAGCCAAAAUUUGCAGGCCAAAGACAGCCCUGAGCUUCCCCCAACCGCCUCCCGCCCAUUCCUCCCUCCCCUUCUGUCUCCAUUAGGCAUGAAUGGGCAUCACAUCUGUUUCCUUUCUUGCUGGAAAGCAAGAGGCAAAGACCCUAAAAUGGGGACAGACCAGCACAUACCUGGGUGGUCUUUAAAUUAGAAAAAGUCUCUGCCAGAAUCCCUCAUUUGGGCCUGGAAUCUCAAUACUUUUCAUUGCUCUCUGCCCCUGUAGGUUGGGAGAAGUGGGGUGGGGGGGCCAUCCCAUCCAUUGUCUUGCUGUCCUUCUCCCAGGCUCACACAUGUUCCUCCUCGUCCUGUCUCCAGCCCUGGAUUCUUCACUCGGCCCACCAAGCAUGGUCUGGGGCACUAACAAAGCAGAGGUAGAGGUCUGCCAUCAUCCUUAGAAGGUCAUGGGCAUGCUAGGCUGCUCAGGUAUCUCCAGGAUUGGGCUGAGCCAAUUAGAAUCAUUUCCUGGGACUUUUCUGUCUAUCACCAAGAAAGAUCACCCAUCUGUCACCAGUGGUGAAAGCUGUAAGAGAUAAAACUUGGGAGGCUGGGGUGACCAUGCUUCCUGCCAUGCCAAAGAAGCAAAUCUGCAGACAGUGAAAAUUAGGACAGGCAAAGAAAAGCUGACAUACAAAGUAUAGAGACAUUCUGAAUAGCAUCUGAAUUACUAUUUGUUAUUGUUAUUGCUGUCAUUCCUAAAAUUAGGCUCCAAGGAAUAAUUACCACUUCAUGGAGCCAGGGACCUGUGACCUUUCCAAAAAUCCAUAUAUGAGUGUUUAACAGAAUACUGAACAUAUGGAGUGGUUAUGAAAUUAUUUUAAUGAAAAAUAGGGCAUUAUAAAAAAAGUGAAGUAUGAUUCAAUUGAAGACCAUAAAAAUUUUUUUUUUCAGUUGUUAGAGAUGGGUAUUAUAACUACAUAAAAUAAUUUUACUAGGGAAAAGAAACCCUUCCUUCAGCUUGGAUGGUCAGCCUUUCCUGGAAUUCUUGAGACAAUAUAUCCCCCUUUGUGACUAACCUAGUUUGAAUUAUGUUGCUGUCAUUUUCAAAAUAGUCCUCAUGGAUAUACAAAGAAGUAGGGUAAUGGACACAGAUAAAAGAAGAAUUGUGUAAUUUUUUUGAAACCUACAAACUCAUGAUGCUUGAAAGUUUAAUAAUGAAUGACACUUGCUGUCCAUGAACGCACAAAUUAUUUUAAUUUCUUAUUCACCACUGCAUCGGCACCUGGCCCCAUGACGGGCACAUAGUAAGAUUUCAUAAGUGUUGAUUGAAUGAAUGUGAUACUCAGGAUUAUGGAAUGUUAACAAGGUGUGAUGGGGCAGAGAGAAGGGAACUAAAAGUCCUGCUAGGGUACAGAGUUGUAAAUGUUCUGGGAGAGCUUUCCAAAGGGGAGGAUGCGUUUGAGCUGAGCCUUGGACAAGGGCUAAUUGUUUAGUGGGUAGAAAGGGAAGAUGGGAGUCAGAGGCAAAUGCGUAUGUGAAAGUGGGAAGCAUAAAAGAGCAUGGUGAACUCCAGAAACGGAAGUAGCUCGAUAAGACCGGAUUAUGGUAUUAGAGAAGUCUGGGAGAAGAGGCUGGUGAGGUAGGUUGGGCUGAGAAAUGCAAAUAGAAAAGAUCAAAUAUUUACAUAAGCUCAUUAGUGACACUGUGUGCAUGUGACAAGUAUGAUUUAGUUUAAACCUCCAAGGUUUAAAUACCCUAAGUGCAACUGUAUCUUUUUGAAAUUGAUUACAUGACAUUAAUAGGCUCUUUCUCAGCUCCACUGGUGAUCAUAUUCAUGAUUUACUUCCAUCUCUCAUCCCUGGGGUCAGGAACAGUCCAUCCUGACCUCCAUCCUUCCUCUUGCUAGUUCCUCUGGAACAAAAUAUUAGCUGCUGGAAUCCUUCUGGUUUUUGUUCUUUAUAUAUAGGUAAGCAAUUUUGUUUCCAAAGUUUAGCAGGCAAAUUCCUAUUAUUAUGAGGACCAGUUAAAAAAAAAAAAAAGGAUUCUGUGUCACAAAGCUAUUUUCAUGAUCCUCUGCAUAAUCCAUUAAAUAUAAUUCAACAAGAAUUUUGUUGAGAACUUGUAAGAUACUCUAUAUUAAGGAGGCAUACUCUAGGAAUAUCUAAGAACUCAAAAGUACUCAAGGACAGAAUCCCUUCCUUUAAAAACCUUACAGAUUUGUUAAGGAGGCAAGAUCAAUAUCAUUAAUUUUGCUAUCCCUUGCUUUUACAACAUAAAAUGUUUACAGAUUACAAACCAUUUUGUCUAUAUUCUUACAUUUGACCUUAUCUGUGCAGUAGUUGGUAUUAAUGAUUAUUGCUGUAAAUUAGGUAAUGGGUAAGGUCUCUAGAGAAAGGCAGCAUUGGGUCCAAACCCUUGAUUUGAUACUUAUUAAUUAUGCAUCAGAUAGGUAGGUAAGUAAUGCCACAAGAACAAAGAAUCCCAAGAUCUCAGUGAUUUAACCUGGUAAGUUUAUUUCUCACCUAUGCCUAUGUUUACUAAGGGGUGACUUGAGGGUCUGUUCCUCACAUCUGACUCCAGAAAUCAGAAUGAUAGAGCAACUGCCUUCUCAAGUGUUGAUUCAAUAGAAGAAAAGAGAGCUCUGAAAGUUCUUGAGCCAGUAGUUAAGUGCUUCAGCUCAGAGUUAGUGCACUUCCCCCAAGAAUUCAUUGGCCAGAACUAGGCUCAUGUCCCAACCAAACUGCUAUUAGGUAGGCCACUUUCUAAAGGUAAGUCAUAAUUUUUACUCUAAGGUUUCUAGCAGUCAUUGCAAAAUGGUUUAUAAGCAUUAUGGUAUCUGCAUGACUUUCAGUUUCUGUCAAAUUUGAAAACAAAAUUCCAUUGUUCAAAAUCCCGUAAUUUCAUCUACAUUUGUGAUUAAAGGCAGAUGAAAAUGUA